GCCCGUGCCUCUGUCUCUGUCUCUGUCUCUGUCUCUCUCUCUCUCAUGAAUAAAUAAAUAAAAUCGUUUAAAAAAAAAAUUCAGUGCUUUUAUGUCCCAGGCACUGUUCUAGACAUUUAGGAAACAGCAGCUAAAUGCCAAUGUCACUGCCCUCACACUGCCGCCAAAGGAGACAAUAAAUACAGGAAUUUAUGAUCUGCUAGAUGGUGGUAAAUGGCACAGAGACAACAGGGCACAGUAAGGGGAUGAGGAGGGCUUGUACCUGCCUUUCCUCUUGUCACUGGACUGCUGGGCCGGCCCCUCACUCCUUCAGAGAUCCUGUUCCCUCCUACAUGCUCAGAAGCGUCCCUCCUCUAGUGCUAGGCUCUGAGCCUUUUGGUGCCUCCCCCACUUCUCUCAGAAUAAAAGCUCAAGUCCUUAGGAGGGGCGUCACAAGGCCGUCUGUGAUCUGCUCCCUGACCUCCUAACUACUCCCUCGCCUUGCUCACUCUGCUCCAGCUGUGCAGGCCUGCUCACAGCUGGACACACCCAGCACGACCCCAGCUCACGGCCUCUGCUUUUGCUGCUGCUUCUGCUCAGAACACUCCUCCCAGCAUCCAGAUGGCUUAACCUCCAGUUCUUCAAGUGUUGGCUCAAUUGGCACGGCUGCAGACUGGAUUGUGUCCCCUCACCUCCAACUCCUAUUAAAAGCCCCCGCCCCUAAUGUGAUUGUAUUUGGAGAGGGACCUUUGGGAGGUAACUAGGCUGAGAUGUGAUCAUGAAGGUGGGGUCCUCCUGAUGGGUUCAGGGCCCUCAUGAGAGGCACCAGAUAACUCACUCUGUCUCUCUGUCCUGUGAGGGCACAGCAAGAAGACAGCCGUGUGCAAGGCAGAAAGAGCUCUCACCAGAGAUGGACCAUGCUGCCGCCCUAAUCCUGGCCUUCUAGCCUCGAGGACUGGGAGAGAGUUUCUGUUGUUGAGCCACCCAGGCUACGGUACACUGUUAGGGUUCUUAUUUCCAUCACACUGGACCCUAAGGAACGUGAGGACAGAAAAAUUUGCUUUGUUCACUUAUGUAUUUCCACAGCCUACGACAGUGCCUGGCACAUAGUGGAAGCUCAGUGUCUGCCUAGGAACACAGCUGCUGGCUCUCCACGCCUGCCUCGGCCUCCGCAGCUGCCUCUCUGGCACACCUCUCAGCCACCUGAAUCUGACUAGGGUGUGUUUUGCCCUGGACUCCAAAAACCUCUGGGACACCACAAAGAAGAGACAAUACAAAAUAGUAGUAUUGAAAACAAAACCAGACAAACAAGAACAACAAAAAACACAAAUACAGAGAACUGUUGUUUCUCAGAGGGGAGGUGGGUGUGGGGGUGCGUGGAAUAGGGGAGGAAGGCUGAAGGGCUGAAGAGGUACAAACUUCCAGCUAUAAAGUAAGUAAGUCAUGGAGAUGAAAAGUUCAGGACAGGGAAUGUAGUCAGCAAUAUUGUAAUAACAUUGUGUGUGGCAGAUGGGGACGACGCUUGCGGUGAGCACCGUGGAAUGCAUAGAAUCAUCAAAUCAAUAUGUUGUGCACCUGAAAUUAAUAUAAAAUUGUAUGUCAAUUCGAUUUCAAAAACAGAAGACUGGUAGUAUUGACGUUGGCCGUAGGGACUAGGUAACCUGAUUCUUUUGUAAGGCAAGUGGUUCCCAAGCUCUUUGCCUUCAAGAAAAUGGAAAGACCAGUUGAUUUGCCCACUAAGAGCCUGCCAUGUGAUUUGGGGGGGAUGCAAAUCUGAAGAAGUUCAGAGACGUGUGAACAUUACCAUUUAAAACAAAAUCAUAGAGGCGCGCGCACACACACACACACACACACAAGCUGCUUCCAUUCUUGUCAACUUCUCUAUGUAAACAAGGCUUCUCAGGGCUUCAUCUGUAAAAAACGAAAUACAGGAACAGAACCAAUGUCAAUUCUGUCUCGUUCCAGCAACAGGUAGUGUUUAUGCAGGGAUAUAGAACCUACGUGGGAAGGUCUCCCACUUGUAUAUGUCACUCCCAAAUCCUAUAGGCCAAAGAAUUAAAUAUCAAAAUAUAUAAUGGAUUUUAUAGUGUUUUGGUCAGUUUUCUAGUACUAAUAAUUGUAAUAUGACUCAAUCCAGGACAUUAAAAAACCCUAUGGUUACAGAAAAAAAAUUCUAAUCUUAAAACUUCAUUUGUAUAAAUAUUUUUGUUGCCUGAAAGCAUGAAAGGUGAUCUAUAAAUGACUUAAAAUAAUAUAUAUAAAACAUUAAGCUCAAUUCUUGGGGGAAAGUGAAGUAGAAAUACAUGCUCAAGAAUAAAAAAGAAAUGAUUAUAACAUUUCUGCCUAUAUAGGGACGUCUGGGUGGCUCAGUCCAUUAGGCGUCCGACUGGUGAUUUCAGCUCAGGUCAUGAGUUCAUGGGUUCAGUGGGACUGAGCCCCUCCUCGGCCUCCGUGCCCAGCGUGGAGUCUUCUUGAGAUUCUCUCUCCCUCUUCCCCUGCCCCUCUCCCACUCAGCACACAUAUGCGCGCGCACUCUCUCGAAUAAAUCUUAAAAAAAUUUCUGCCUGUAAAAUAAGACCUUGCUCAAGUAUUUUGUAUCAAAUCAUAAGGGUAUUUAGAUUCCAUUGGGGACAUUUAAAAUAAUUGAUUUAAAAGCUUUAUUUUAAGAUGUCAAUAUUGAAAACUCAAGGAAAAGUAAAUCCUUUGCAAUGUUUAAACUUAGUGGCAAAAGGAUUAAAACACCAAUUUUAAAAUGUGCAAGAGUGUACGUGGUUUUUCAAAAUCUUUUUACGCAUUUUAGGAAGUAUCCAAAAAGUAUUAUUUUCCUUUUUCCAGUGUUGCCACUCCUGAGUAUAUACAUAUUAAAAUAAGUGUUUUAAGAUAAAUUACUUUCCUUUUUUUCUUUAUAUCACAGCGCUGUCCUUAUUUUCAUUUAUUAAAAUUAUGGGUUUUGGUUUAAUUUCAGGAGAGUAAAGAAGGUAUCACAUACUAUUUACCAUAAAAGAGGGUGUUAGGUUUGAUAUGGUUGAGGGCCAUUGAUAGGUGAGGGUCUUGCAAACCAAAGACUGUUCAGCUAAAAAAAAUCAUGGAUUUCAGUAGAGUAGUGAAAAGAUCCCACCUAAGUUUUAACAGCAUGGGGCUGACUGCUACGUGGAAGUACAGUAAGGCUAGCAGGUGUGGAAGUGGGGAUACCGGUUAGAGGACUAAGGCCAUCAGGGUGGGGGACCAUGGGGGCUUGGACCAGCCGAAUAAAGAAUAUUGAAUACUGACUGAAGUGGGGCCUGGCCUGGCCU